rnacentral:snRNA from 1 species
AUACUUACCUGGCAGGGGAGAUACUGUGAACACGAAGGUGGUUUUCCCAGGGCGAGGCUUAUCCAUUGCACUCUGGAUGUGUGCGAUUUCCCCAAAUGCAGGAAACUCGACUGCAUAAUUUGUGGUAGUGGGGGACUGCAUUUGUGCUGUCCUCUG